GAUGAACGCUGGCGGCGUGCCUAAUACAUGCAAGUCGAGCGAAUGGAUUAAGAGCUUGCUCUUAUGAAGUUAGCGGCGGACGGGUGAGUAACACGUGGGUAACCUGCCCAUAAGACUGGGAUAACUCCGGGAAAUCGGGGCUAAUACCGGAUAACAUUUUGAACCGCAUGGUUCGAAAUUGAAAGGCGGCUUCGGCUGUCACUUAUGGAUGGACCCGCGUCGCAUUAGCUAGUUGGUGAGGUAACGGCUCACCAAGGCAACGAUGCGUAGCCGACCUGAGAGGGUGAUCGGCCACACUGGGACUGAGACACGGCCCAGACUCCUACGGGAGGCAGCAGUAGGGAAUCUUCCGCAAUGGACGAAAGUCUGACGGAGCAACGCCGCGUGAGUGAUGAAGGCUUUCGGGUCGUAAAACUCUGUUGUUAGGGGAGAACAAGUGCUAGUUGAAUAAGCUGACACCUUGACGGUACCUAACCAGAAAGCCACGGCUAACUACGUGCCAGCCGCCGCCGUAA
rnacentral:rRNA from 1 species